CUUGAGCCAUCUUCUGCUGCCUUCCCAGGCACACUAACAGGGAGCUGGAUCGGAAAUAGAGCUGCCGGGACUCAAACCAGCACCCAUAUGGGAUGCUGGCACUGCAGAUGGCAGCUUAACCCGCUACACUAUAGCAUAGGCCCCUAGAUGGCAGUUCACACAGAGAACCUACCUCCUUCUCCCUGCCUAAGAGAAAACCAUCGCACAGAGCAAAGACUCUCUGAGCUGUAUGAGAUGCACAGGAAGAGAGUGUGGCCUCUCUUAUCAGGCCCAGGGGGAGAGAAAAAAGACCCCCUAGCUCGGAGGCCAUCUCCAAAAGCAGGCAGCCCAUUCUUAGGUGGGCCGAGAGAAGCCACCCUGCAAGGCAGCAAAGGAAGAGGGACUUGAGAAACUGUCCCUUAGGAUCUGAGCUGAAGAUGCCUUGUGAUUAAAAAGCUGCCACCUUCUUUUGCCCUUCCCCCUUUAUCCACUGUCCCUCAAUCAACAUGUGGUGCUGGAACUUUUCCCCAAGGUGAGCCUAGGGGGAGGGCCCCACGUGGUCAGGGCAGCUCUGUGACAUCAUAGGCUGAAGCUGGGCCAGGCCACUCCAGCUUCCACCAGAGAGCACCAAGGGGGCAGCCAUGCCACCGGCCUUGCCCAUUUAUCCCAGAUCCAGCUGUCGUCAUUCCACGGCUUUUCUCUGAAACCUCACCUUUCCCCCCAGAAAGGAAACGGCCGCACUUGUUGGGCCCCGCAGCUGGGAAUGAGGCAGGGCUGGUGUCUGAGGGACCUUCGGGGGCUGCUUUUUUCCUUGCCACGCUCAACUACCCUGCCGUGGCCACUGGACAGCUUAGCUGUCCCUGCCGGAUAGUCAAUAACACCCUCCCACACUAUCCUUUUCCUGUGAAAAUCCACCUUCUCCAAGAAACCCUCGGGGAUUGUAUUCAGAACAGAGCUCUGGUUCCCCAAAGGACCAAGUGUCUGUUCCUGCACUUGAACAUGAGCUGCUGGCCCCUGCUGGGGAGUAUCCUCAGAACACCAGGGCUCUCCGGAGGCAGGUGGGCUCCCAAGGUCCAGGAGGAGGCGCAAAGAGGGGACAGGCGACGAUUCUGCUUUGGCUGUGAGGGCCUCCAGGACUCCCAGGGGAAGCUCAUCUAUGUUUAUGUGGACUUAGGAUGCUAAGGAGCGUUGUGGAGCCAAGAGCCCUGCUGGGUUUCGUGGGCAGUUGGGCCUGCUCGGAACACAGCCUCCUUUGUCUGCAGAGCUUUCGGUUGGAAUUGCAGAACUGGGUUUGGAAGCACAGCUGACACGGAAGCCUGCCCAGGCCUAGCAGAAUCACAGUGGGGUCAGGGAGACAGCUCAGCUUCCACCCUGUCUCUUCAAGCAAGACACUGAAGCCUAGGUUUGGCUGAGGGCAUUGUGUCCAUCUUCCCGUCUCCAAGAAGGACAGUGUCCAGCCCGCCUGAGAUGGGGCAGCUUGGACUUUUAAGGCUCGCCUCUACCCUGGUCAUUCAUUCAUCCACGCCAGUGACAGCAGUCUGGGGACGUUCCUUCUUUUGGCAAAUGGAAGCCCAUGGUGCUGCACACCAAACCUCCUUUCUGGUGCUGCUCAGAGGCCCUGGGAGGAGCACACAGUCAUCUUACAAAGCCCAUCUGCUUGGAGUUAGUGCUCCCUGCCACCUCCUCUGCUCCAGCCCAGUCUCCGGUUUCUCUCUGUCAUUGGGCAAUGACUCCGAGCAGACCAAGAUGCGUGUGUCUCAGACUUCUCAUACUCACACGGCCCCGUGGGGGGAGACAUGCAAACACGCUUAUCACAACAAAUCAUGACACCUGCAAAAACAGAGCCGGGAGCGAAGUCUUCCGGGAACAGAGCAAUUAGCAACCGGCUGUGCUCAGGACUGGCGGGUAAAGUUUCCGGGAGGGCUUGGCCUCUGAGUGUGGCCUUGAAGGCCGAGUAAGCAUUUUCCAGGUCCAGGGAGAGAACGGGUGUUCUGAGUAGAGGAAAGAACACACAGGAAGACCAGAAGAUCUGAAGGGUCUGGCCUGUAUGGGGACAGCAAGUCAGGGGCACUGAUACCGCAGGCGCGUUCCUGGAGGCCCCUUCUGUAAGGAAAACAGGACUGUUGACAGAAAGGGACGACACAGACAGAGAUCAUCUGGACUAGCCCCCAUUCUCUCCCGAAUCCGGCUCGUUUCCAUCAGCACGCUAAAGCGCUGUCUCCCAGAAUAUGAAUAUUUCACGUCUAGCCCUGACAUUGGGUCUCCUUGAGCUGUUGUGUUAAGCGUUGGAAAAACAAAUAGCAGCGCCUCCCACGUGCUGCCUCCUUCUUCCUCUGGAAGAUGUGUCUGGUCUCCGAGGAGACUUUGUGCGAUGGAUGACCUUGCUGGCUUAGCCAUCCAGAGGCAGCCACCGACAAGCCUUUAUAGUCUCUGAGUGUUUAAGACCCCAUGAAUUUUCUUUAAUCUAGAAAUUAGGAAGCAUUUGGGAUCUUUCUUCAUGGAUUUUGAGGGUUAUUUAAUUUAUACCUUGUUGCUCAGCCCUCCACACCCCGGGCGUCAGCCAUCUGGUUUGUGUUCAUUGUGAGACAGGAUACUGGAUGUGCAGUUUUUGCUAGUGCAGGCCGGGAAUGGGCGUGGGGGAAGGGCUAUAUAUUGCAAAAGUGUAGCUUCUGCUUUGUCUUUGUGCCCCCAAAAUGUACCUGGAGGCAUUUUAGCUUCGGCUGGAUUAUGAUUUACUUGGGACAUUGCAUCUGUCGACAAAAGCCGCAAGCUUCCUAGUUUCGGUGCCAACCGGAAACAGAACUCAGUGGAUCUCAGACAUCAAAGAAAACUUCAGAGGAAGAUGUUGUCAUCUGGACCCUGCUUCCAGGAGCUUAUGCUGAAGGAUCACUUCCCGGCCUCCGCUUCAGGUGGAAAAUUUAAGGUCCAUAGACGUUUUGGCUCAUGGAGCGCCGAGUUAUCUCAAGAAAUCUUCCAUAUCUAGCGAUUUCUGAACGCUCAGGUAUAAAUCUGCGCCACCGGUCCAUGAUAAAAUUUUCAUAGCUUCACAGGCAACGAAGAAAAAGCACAGAGGAUGCAAUACGCACGUGCGUAAACUGAGGUAGCAGUAGUAAAAUAUUUAGGAUGGUGCUGGGCGUGUAGUUACCACUCCGUAAAUGCCAGCUGCUGUGAACAGAGAGCACUCCGUGCAGGGUUGCUAACUGGUCCUUUUGCUACUGAAAUGUCAUUUCUUUUUACACAUAAUUUUAACAGUGAGUCUAUAGUUUAUAGUUUUGUAAGUUCAUGUAGUCAGCAAUAUUUUGAAAACAGGCUUCUGAUUUGGUGCCCAAAUUUAUUUUUGAAGUGUUUCUGGGGCCAGCACUGCGGUGUAGCAGGUAAACCUGCCGCCUGCAGUGCCGGCUUCCCAUAUGGGUGCCGGUUCGAGUCCCAGCUGCUCCACUUCCAAUCCAGCUCUCUGCUAUGGCCUGGGAAAGCAGAGGAAGAUGGCCCAAGUCCUUGGGCCCCUGCACCCACGUGGGAGACCUGGAAGAAGCUUCUGGCUCCUGGCUUCAAAUCGGCACAGCUCUGGCUGUUGCAGCCAACUGGGGAGUGAACCAGUGGAUGGAAGACCUCUCUCUCUCUCUCUCUCUCUCUCUCUGCCUCUU